CUCUCACUCACUCUCUCUGCCUCCUUUACUCUGCAGUGUUUUAGGUGGUGGCUAUGGGGCCCCAGAGGCUGCUCUGGGAAUGACAAACACCCAGAAGUAAAGCAAGUGGAGAAAAGCCAAUCAGACAGGUUUCCUGAGACCUGGGGCAGGAGAGGAAGAGACCUCUAGGGACAGCACAGACCAGGAGGGGAUUGAGGAGCCAAGGACAGGACAGGACGGACACCUUGCACUGCUAACCUGCUACACCUUUUGAAUUCAGGACCACGUGAAUAAGUUACCUACUGAAACCUUAAGUUGAGGACACAGAGGCACAGAGAUGUCAUCCAAGUUAUCCAAGGUCACACAGCUGGUAAGUUACAGAACCAGGAUUUGGACCCAGACAGUCUGGCUCCAGAGCCUGCUCAUAACCAGUACUCUAUACUGUUACGAC